ACCGUGUUGUGUUAGCUGCUGGCUGGGCCAAGCAGCUACGAGCGAGCCUAAGCAGCUAGUAUGGCGGAGGAGAGCAGUUUCCCCGAGUUGGAGGGGCUAGAAAAACAAUUGGAGUCAUUGAUAAGCUCUCAUUCAAGUGACGACUUGCAUGGAGACAGCAAAACGUACUGUUCGGACUUUUGUAAGCUGGUGGAAGAGUACGCCUCACGCUGUCGGACGCCGCUCCCUCAGCUCAGGAUCCUCGAGACAGCCCUGUGCCACUUCACUCGGGCCUCAUCCUUCUUCACAUCAAGCUGUGAUCACGUGCUUCACACACUCAGUAGUUUGGCCUUGAGUGUUUUUGAGUUGCUGCUUUUCUUUAAUGAGCAAGAUUUCCACGAAGAGCCGUUGAAGCACUUCUCUAUUAAAUUUCAGGAAUGUCAUGUCGCCCUUUUAAAGCAUCAGAAUGUUCACUUACUUCAGGUUGAGCCUUUGCUUCGUUCAGGAGGCGCUUGGGCCAGUACAACAUUGAAGGCAAUACUCAGCGAAUCCAGUUUACCUCAGAAUGAAGUGGACAGGUUCUUCAGCUCUGAGUUGCCAGUGUUCUUGGAGCUUCGGGUGCGCUACCUUCUAUCCUGUGAGCGUGUCCGUGAGGCUUUAGCCCUGGCUAAGUGUUGUAUUCGUCAUCCGAUGGCAGGGAAACACUUGUUCUUCCUCCAGGUCUACCUCACAUGGCUUUACAAGACGCAAUACAAUCAGCUGCUUAAAGAGGUCGCUGACCUCACUGGUAAAGAUGCAGUGCACAUCAUCUGCAGUUUAGAGUAUGAAGAACCCGAUCAACUGCUGUUAGCUCUCUGCCAGGUGUUCCUCUCCCAACAACUCUGCAGGGGAGACAUGUACUAUUUAUGGGAACUUGUUUUUGUGUGGAGCAAACUUCACAAACGGCUGAAUACUUCCAAGCAAGCUUUUCUGGAAGAAAGCCGUCGGCUAAUGCUGUCUGCUGCCAACGCCAGCUCUGUCUUCCCGUUUGUCAGAGUUGUUAUUGAAGAGCUCGGUGCAGACGGGGUCCAGUUUUGUGUGGAGCUUUGUGCAGAUGCCUUGAAAUCUUGUCUCCCAUGUGACAUUAACACCAAGUCGCUGAUCUAUAAAACUAUUGCUGGCCUGCUGCCCAACGAUUUGGAAGUGUGUCGGGCCUGUGCGCUGCUUGUCUUCUUCUUGGAACGCAGCGUUGGGGCCUACAAGAUGGUGUAUUUCCUGUAUAUGCUUCCAGACCAGGACAACCAUGUUGAGCACUGUCCCAUCACGAAUCAAACGCGAUUUGAAACGCUGCAGAUUUUGAAGAAGGACCUUUAUUUUGAUCCAGAGUUUUGGAACCUCAUUGCUUUGCGGACCAAUUGUUUGAAACUGAUGAGUGAGAAAGUGGUUGACGCUUCACUCGACGAACUCAUGGAGGAAUCAUGGGUCCCAAACUACUGUGCCAAAGACUUUCCCUUUGUGUGUAGUACAUCAACAGCAAAUACUGAUAAUGGAACAGCAAAAAGGCCUUGUCAUAAUGAUGGCAGUCACAAAGAAAUUAGCUCUGAGGAGGCACCCAAGAAACUCAAGGUGGUCCAAGGCAAAACAGGACUGAAUGACAGCAAUGCCGUGAAAAAAAAGGCUCCUGAUAACGGAACAGCAAAAAAUCCUAACGAUGGGAGGCAUAAAGAAAUUAGCUCUGUGGAGUCGCCCAAGAAACUCAAGUUGGUUCAAGGCAAAACAAGACUGAAUGAUAGUGACGCUGUGAAAAAAAAGGUUAACCACAGGUCACGUUUUACAAAGGAAGCAUCAUCGCAACCUUUGAGGCGCUCAUUUUGGCAGCUUGACAGGAUACAUGACAUUGGGUCUGGGCAGCUAAGACGAGCUACUCGACUAUCUGCAAAAGAUCCUCCAAAACGAAGGAUUCAAAAACCCAAAUGGCUCCUGGAAGAUUCUGGUAAUCUACAAGAGUCAAAGCUUAGGAAACGUAGUUUGAGAAAUCAGAGAGUGCAUCAGUCGUCUGCCCUAAAGAGGUCUGAAAAUGGUCGGCCCAAGAACAGCACACAAGCCAAGGCGUCGGAAAACUCUUGCACAAAGCAUGAGACAGCAGAUGCUCUUGAACCAGCUUCUACUCCACAAAUAAUUUUGGAGCUGUCGCUACCAGACAAUGAGCUGCUGGGAACUUUCGCCGAAGACGGCAACAAACCGAAAGGAUGCCCUCCGAUGCUCUUUUAUAAGCGAACACUAAAGCUUCCUGACCCCUCCCGUCCUGUGAAGGUGCUGCAUGGAAAAGAGGUCAUCCUUCGAGCAAGGGAUGAAACUAUGCUUGUGCAGCUCUUGCACUGUUACGCUCGCAGGCCGAAAGGAAAGGGUAAAGGGUCAAAUAUUCAUGGAUCUGUAUCAACAAUCACACGCUCUUCUGCGCAUGGGAGUUCCCUCAAAGAACCACAGAGCGUGCUUUGUGAGAAACCUAAUGCUGAGACAAGGGUUGGUUUGAGCUCGGAGGAUGCGCUUACAACUGAACACCCAGAAACACCAAGCCCGGUUCUACAGUCGUUAGCAAAAGAGCCUUUAGAAAGCACAGAGAUAAAAAAAAUAGUUUAUUCAGAAAAAAUAAUUGCAUUAAAAGGAACAGAAAGUUGUAUUUUAGGUCAAACUGCUCACUCUUCAAAAACAGACAAAGUCCAUUCCACGGUUGCACCUUUCGAACUCAGUGAUGAACGUUCUGUUGAAAUGAAGGUGACUUUAGCUUCACAAAGCCCCGCAGUGGAGAAAGUCACACAACAGCCAACUACAUCGUCCAUUGACUUUUCACCAACCUUUGAGACGCAAAGCGGAAAAAUAGAAGAUACUGAUUACACCCCGUCAAUGUCCAACACAUUACCGUCUCAAAGCUCUGACUCUACGUGUCACACGCCUCUCCAAGGUAGACAAGCUCUUGUAAACACAAAUGAAGAACAAAAUCCAAAGCCACUCAGCCCUCAUUCUGAAAAUGGCAAAACAUGCAUUGACAAGGCCAAAGACAUCACCACGGAGGAUGCACAAAACGAACAUUCUAACCAUAUGGAUGACAUUUCAGCCUUAGCAACAGAGAUGGUGACUCAGUUUUCUCCAGUUGAACUUCUCCCAGACUUGGAGAAUUGCAAACAACCUACAGACGCUAACUCCAAGCAAUCGGUGCUCCAAAAUGAAAGCAAUUUUGCCAAUGCCUCCAGUCAUACAGUGCCAGAACCAUCCACCACUGGUAAUAUGCAAGGAAAUAAUCAUGAAACACUAGCCGAAUAUGACGACUAUGAGGAUGACUUUGAGGAUGAUGAGUCAAUAGAAACAGAGGAAUCCAAGUUGGAGUACUGCUGUACUUUUUGUCACAAAGAUUUUAAGGGCAGACGCGUAGUAAUACAUGCUAUGUUCCACUUCCGUAAGGAUGAGUGUAUGUUUUGUGGGACCACUUUUAAAGAUGACCUCCUGGCAAUGAUGCACUUGUCUGACCACAUUGAGAAGCUCAAAAGAAGCAAAGAGGUAGCCAGUAGCAAAGCUCCACAAACCUGUGAGUCAGAAACCAAAGAUUUCUCCCAACCCAAGACCUCUGCCAAAGCUAAUGUUCCCAACAGCCUGUCUGGUCAUCACCAUAGUAGGAAGCUGAGGAACUCCUCUGUCUGCGAUAAAUCUCUUAGUCAUCCAGAAGCAGACUUGCAAUUAGAAUCAAGAAAUUUGCGAUCAAAUGACAAGGCAGUCGAUAGUCAAUUUGUACAGAAAAACGAGCCAAAUGAGUGCAUUGACGGCAAAUCUCCCAAAAGCAAGAUAAAUGGACUUUUUGACAAAAAUAAUACAUUUGACCAAAUGAAACAUAGCAACUCAAAAGCUGAAGACAACCAGGCAACUCCAACACACGAUACUGAAGACAAAGCAGACCAUCGCGAGUUGACUCGUGCAAUGGCCAACUCUUGUGAUUCCUUUGCAUCUUCGGUUCAGAAGAGGAAAUGCGUUGAAGGUUUAAAGAAUAAUGUCAUUAAGGACGGGAAGAAGGCUAUUCAGGAGAAAAGGGUAGAGCCCAAAGUGAAAAUUAACUGUCCAGCAGAUGGAUGCAAUUGGUCCACAGACCUUUCUAAAAACCGUGUUGCUCUUCUCUACCAUGCUCUCGAGCAUCACUACGGUGACAUCAAACCUUUAGAAAUGUCAUUGAAAGUUGCAAACAACAAAUGCAGUAUUUGCAAGAGGGUUCUAUGGAGUUUUGAACAUUUUCAGCAUCAUGUGGAAAGACACCGCCUCAGUCCUCGCCAUCCUUGCCUUCAUCUGGGUUGCACUGCCAGGUUCAAAACUGGAAAUGAAAUGAGCCGACACGCAAGAAAACACAGUCCACUGCAGGCAGUGUGCUGCUUGCCUGGUUGUUCCAAACUAUUUAUUUGUCUCUGGGCACUGAACCUUCAUGAAAAAGAGCACUAUGCUUCCAAACCCAUCAAGCCAGUUAAGACUGUGGACCAGCAGACAGACCCUAACCCUAACUGCAUGCAGGUAAAAGCUACGGAAGGGACUUUGAGCCAGUCCACUCGUGUGUUAAGGCGGCAUGCAUCUCGAGAUGUGACGGCGAAAUCUGCCAGUGUUCCUCCUCCCAUGGCGAAAGGAGAGCUAAAAAACAGAAAUGAAUCCAAGCAUUCUAAUGUUUUGAAGAAUCUCUCCAACAAGGACACCACCGCACAGUCCAGUAAUCAUAGUUUGAAUCUGAGGUUAAGAAAAGGUCAAAGAUCAGAGCCUCGGGAAUUACCCUUUUUCAGACGUAGGCUCAAACUGAGGCAUAAAUUCAAGAAAAAGCAGGUUCAUGUCAACCAAACUGAAAUGUUCCCUAAAACGAGAGGCCGUCCACGAAAGGCAAACAAAGCAACACAUGACGAAAACACGACUAAGGGACAAAACAGUCAAAGUCUAAAGAGUGAAACCUCAGACGGUCAUGAGACGCCAACAUCUCCAACGGUUAGUACCAAGUUAGAAAUUAACGAAACGCAAGAGGAAGUCAAUGACGAUGACGAGAUUCUACACCAGAAGUCAAAUUCCCAACAAACAGUGAGCAGUUGUGUUGAACAAAAGAUUUCUUUGCACAGGGUCUCCCCUCUAACUGCAGCAUCCCGGAGUUCAGUUGUCCAUGCACUCAAAUUAAGAGUUCUUAAUUUGAGGAAGCGCUGUGCUUCAAGGGGCAGCGAGUCUUUGGAAGCCAGUAGGGCAAAGAAGGAAAGGCUUACUCUUAGAAAAAGUCCCCGCAGACGGUCUAGCCUGCAGUCAGCUUCAACUCAUGUAGCCCGGAGGUCUGGGGAUGAAAAGAGAGAGAAAACGCAUUCUUCCAAAAGUAGCCCUGCUGAUCUUAUUCUUGCUUCCACUAAGGUGAACGUGAAGAAAACUCGACCUAAAAAGAAAAAAACAGGAAAGAUGCUUCAGAUUGGUGACAAAGUCGACGGGACGAUCUGCCCCAGUUUGGAAAAAAAGUCAAAUGAAGAACAUCAUAAUGUGACAAGUGAUGGCUCCAGUUCUACCACGUCCGAUUGGAAUAAAAAAUCAAACGAAGAACCUUCAGAUGCGACGAGAAGUGGCUCCACUUCUACCGUGUCCAAUUUGGACAAGGAAGAACUUUCAGACGUGACAAGUGAAGUCUCCAGGGAAGAACCUUCAAAUGUGAUGAGCGAUGGCUCUGGUUCCACCAUGUCCAAUUUGGAGAGAAAGUCAGUGGAAGAACGUUCAGCUGUGACUAGUGAUAGCGCCAGUCCCACCACGCAAAUGUCCAUAAAAGAACCUUCAAAUGUGACGUGUGAUGGCUCCACGUCUAUCACAUCCAAUUUAGAGAGCAAGUCACAGGAAGAACCUUCUCAUGUGACAACUGAUGUCUCCAUUUCCACCAUGCCAAAUUUAGAGAGCAAGUCAACGAAAGAACCUUCUCAUGUGGCAAGUGAUGUCUCCAUUUCCACCAUGCCCAAUUUAGAGAGCGAGACAACGGAAGAACCAUCUUAUGUGACCAGUGAUGACUCCAGUUCAACCACGUCAACAGUUCAAGCAGAACCUUCUUCAAAAAAGGAUGUGCAUGUUCGGAGAAACAAAGGUGCCAAGGCAAGUAAAGAAGGUGAAGUAAAGAGUAGCAGGAAAAGACCCCAUCCAGACCAACGUACUGCUAAAGUAGCAACCGAGUCGAAAACUCAAGCUUCAAUCGGCAGUGAAGUGAAGGUGGGAGACGCGGACAAUUGUGCUAGUGAGGAGCUACACGGAAACAAAACACCAGAGUCUGUCAAAGACAAGCGUGGUCAAGCGAAGUCCAAGUUAGCAAAAGAGUACGAUGGAUCCACAUUGUGCAUGGACACUCUGGCCGAGUACGGCAAGAAGCACAUGCGUGCGCCUCCCACGGCCUACCUCGACGAGAAGUUCACCGCAAUGCCCAAAAAAAGGAAGGAGGCGGCAUCCGACAUCUACACCUCGCUGGAGGAGGCUCCCGUCACCGUCGCGCCGCAGAGACAUCGGUGUGCCAAUUGCUUCACGACGUUCAACAGUGCAGAAGAGCUGCAGCGCCACCACCAUUUACAGCACUGUACCAACCUCUUUGGCUUUGACUCUGAUGACGAAGGGAAUUGUUGAACUACCUGACUUGAAUCUAAGUGAGCGGACCUUGUGGAUGCAGAAGUGACUGGCCGGUGGAACUUGUAUGGGACUGUGGGGUGGAUCAAAGUCCACCAGACCACUUCAAGACUUAAUAAUGUAUGCUGUACAGACCAAAAGCGCGAAGGCCGGUGGCUAGUCGAUGAGUUAAAAGCCUGCAGAAGCCCAGUCAGUUUUGCUGAACGUUUGUACUGAAGUGCCUGCCCUGGAUCCACCCUUUCCUGUUUCGCCAGAGUCGACCGCAACCGACACAGACAGAACUGCCGCAAGGAUACUCUUUCUCCAUCAGUGCGAUUGGACAAGAGCCCACCCGUACACAGACACAUGUGAGUCACAUAUAUCCCAUUUCCUCUUCUGUUACUGCAUCCGCCCGUGGGACCAAGCAUUUUUAGCGCCUUGAAUCAUACUUAAGUCUGUUGUAAUCCAAUAAGUGUUCAUUUGUUGUUCUGCUCCACCCCUUGGUCUCUUCUGUAGUGUCAGGCCACAAGUUUCCCAAGGUUUAAACGGCGUCCUCGGCUGGCAUCUUGUCUUUUCUACUCUGUGACCGGCUAAUUCCACGCAGGCUUCAUAUAGUUGGGGAUGCACUGGCAGACUUGGUGGCUGUAGUAAAAGCCAGACAGGCAGGCGCGUUUGGGGGUCCUGCAGGGUAACCUGUAGCAACUUGGGAAUAGUGGAAAAAGGGAAAACCUUUCAUUAGUCCCAACUUGGGUGGGAAAUUGUUAAAAAGCAUGCGUUUGAUUUUCAUGGACAAUUCAAAGUGAAAUAUUCCAAACUGUAAAGUUUACAAGGCAACUAAAGGCAAUUUAAUGGAAAGGUAUUAGAUUCACACAUUUCACUGAUUGACAUUUGACUGUUCGAACAUU